UACGGAGGGGGCUAGCGUUGUUCGGAAUUACUGGGCGUAAAGCGUACGUAGGCGGCUUUGUAAGUUAGAGGUGAAAGCCCGGGGCUCAACUCCGGAAUUGCCUUUAAGACUGCAUCGCUUGAUCACGGGAGAGGUGAGUGGAAUUCCGAGUGUAGAGGUGAAAUUCGUAGAUAUUCGGAAGAACACCAGUGGCGAAGGCGGCUCACUGGACCGUAGAUGACGCUGAGGUACGAAAGCGUGGGGAGCAAACAGG
rnacentral:rRNA from 1 species